rnacentral:rRNA from 1 species
UUGGCCUUGACAUACUAAGAACUUUCCAGAGAUGGAUUGGUGCCUUCGGGAACUUAGAUACAGGUGCUGCAUGGCUGUCGUCAGCUCGUGUCGUGAGAUGUUGGGUUAAGUCCGCAACGAGCGCAACCCUUUUCCUUAUUUGCCAGCGGUAAUGCCGGGAACUUUAAGGAUACUGCCAGUGACAAACUGGAGGAAGGCGGGGACGACGUCAAGUCAUCAUGGCCCUUACGGCCAGGGCUACACACGUGCUACAAUGGUCGGUACAAAGGGUUGCUACCUCGCGAGAGGAUGCUAAUCUCAAAAAGCCGAUCGUAGUCCGGAUCGCAGUCUGCAACUCGACUGCGUGAAGUCGGAAUCGCUAGUAAUCGCGGAUCAGAAUGCCGCGGUGAAUACGUUCCCGGGCCUUGUACACACCGCCCGUCACACCAUGGGAGUUUGUUGCACCAGAAGUAGGUAGUCUAACCGCAGGGAGGACGCUUACCACGGUGUGGCCGAUGACUGGGGUGAAGUCGUAACAAGGUAAGCGUAGAUGA